UAUGGCCAUAUCAUGUUGAAACACUGGUUCUCAUUUGAUUACCAAAGUUAAGUAACAUUGAUCCAGCUUAGUACCUACAUGGGUGAUUACUUGGGAAUACCAGGUGCUGUAAG